GGGCGGCUAGCUCAGCGGGAGAGCACUCCCUUCACACGGGAGGGGUCACAGGUUCAAUCCCUGUGCCGCCCA
rfam:Methylosinus sp. 3S-1 3S1contig37, whole genome shotgun sequence.